GGACAUAAGGCUGAUUCAGCUCUGACAUCCGCCAACCCACUAAUCACUAGGGUUGAUUCUUAGGCCAAUAUGGCUGACUAGUUGGGUGUUCCCUUCUUUUCUCACAGUUCCAAGUAUAUCCUUCCCAAAAGUUAUGUGCUCAGAUCAAGAAGACAACUUCUCCUAUAAAGACUGGUUUUUUGUUUUUGUUAGUAUAUAUGAAUAGCUGUGCUCUAUACCCAAACCUCCAAACAAGCUCUAAAGAAACUAGAAAUGGAGUUUAUGGGUGUUAAUGUACUACUUUUU
rnacentral:snRNA from 1 species